rnacentral:rRNA from 1 species
CUUAACACAUGCAAGUCGAGGGGCAGCAUGGUCUUAGCUUGCUAAGGCCGAUGGCGACCGGCGCACGGGUGAGUAACACGUAUCCAACCUGCCGUCUACUCUUGGACAGCCUUCUGAAAGGAAGAUUAAUACAAGAUGGCAUCAUGAGUCCGCAUGUUCACAUGAUUAAAGGUAUUCCGGUAGACGAUGGGGAUGCGUUCCAUUAGAUAGUAGGCGGGGUAACGGCCCACCUAGUCUUCGAUGGAUAGGGGUUCUGAGAGGAAGGUCCCCCACAUUGGAACUGAGACACGGUCCAAACUCCUACGGGAGGCAGCAGUGAGGAAUAUUGGUCAAUGGGCGAGAGCCUGAACCAGCCAAGUAGCGUGAAGGAUGACUGCCCUAUGGGUUGUAAACUUCUUUUAUAAAGGAAUAAAGUCGGGUAUGGAUACCCGUUUGCAUGUACUUUAUGAAUAAGGAUCGGCUAACCCCGUGCCAGCAGCCGCGGUAAUACGGAGGAUCCGAGCGUUAUCCGGAUUUAUUGGGUUUAAAGGGAGCGUAGAUGGAUGUUUAAGUCAGUUGUGAAAGUUUGCGGCUCAACCGUAAAAUUGCAAUUGAUACUGGAUAUCUUGAGUGCAGUUGAGGCAGGCGGAAUUCGUGGUGUAGCGGUGAAAUGCUUAGAUAUCACGAAGAACUCCGAUUGCGAAGGCAGCCUGCUAAGCUGCAACUGACAUUGAGGCUCGAAAGUGUGGGUAUCAAACAGGAUUAGAUACCCUGGUAGUCCACACGGUAAACGAUGAAUACUCGCUGUUUGCGAUAUACUGCAAGCGGCCAAGCGAAAGCGUUAAGUAUUCCACGUGGGGAGUACGCCGGCAACGGUGAAACUCAAAGGAAUUGACGGGGGCCCGCACAAGCGGAGGAACAUGUGGUUUAAUUCGAUGAUACGCGAGGAACCUUACCCGGGCUUAAAUUGCAGAUGAAUUACGGUGAAAGCUGUAAGCCGCAAGGCAUCCGUGAAGGUGCUGCAUGGUUGUUGUCAGCUCGUGCCGUGAGGUGUCGGCUUAAGUGCCAUAACGGGCGCAACCCUUGUUGUCAGUUACUAACAGGUUCCGGUGAGGACUCUGACAAGACUGCCAUCGUAAGAUGUGAGGAAGGUGGGGAUGACGUCAAAUCAGCACGGCCCUUAUGUCCGGGGCUACACACGUGUUACAAUGGGGGGUACAGAGGGUCGCUACCACGCGAGUGGAUGCCAAUCCCCAAAACCUCUCUCAGUUCGGACUGGAGUCUGCAACCCGACUCCACGAAGCUGGAUUCGCUAGUAAUCGCGCAUCAGCCACGGCGCGGUGAAUACGUUCCCGGGCCUUGUACACACCGCCCGUCAAGCCAUGGGAGCCGGGGGUACCUGAAGUGCGUAACCGCGAGGAGCGCCCUAGGGUAAAACUGGUGACUGGGGCU